UAGUGUGUAGCUCGCAGUCAUCGAGCGCCGGUUUCAUAUGCCGGAAGUCGACGGUUCGAACCCGUCCACACCAACCA
rnacentral:tRNA from 1 species